rnacentral:rRNA from 1 species
AUUGAACGCUGGCGGCAUGCCUUACACAUGCAAGUCGAACGGCAGCACGGGAGCAAUUCUGUUGGCGAGUGGCGAACGGGUGAGUAAUACAUCGGAACGUGCCCAAUCGUGGGGGAUAACGCAGCGAAAGCUGUGCUAAUACCGCAUACGAUCUACGGAUGAAAGCAGGGGACCGCAAGGCCUUGCGCCAAUGGAGCGGCCGAUGGCCGAUUAGGUAGUUGGUGGGGUAAAGGCUCACCAAGCCAACGAUCUGUAGCUGGUCUGAGAGGACGACCAGCCACACUGGGACUGAGACACGGCCCAGACUCCUACGGGAGGCAGCAGUGGGGAAUUUUGGACAAUGGGCGCAAGCCUGAUCCAGCCAUGCCGCGUGCAGGAUGAAGGCCUUCGGGUUGUAAAGUGCUUUUGUAGGGAAAGAAACGGCCUUUUCUAAUAAAGAGGGGUAAUGACGGUACCGUAAGAAUAAGCACAGGCUAACUACGUG